CCUACUUUCAUUUUAAAACACUAAGAAUCUCACCAAGAGAUUCGACACUUUGAAUCACACUUACUAACUUGAAUUAUAAUGUACUUUGAAACAUACCAUGAACAACCUGGAAANCAUACCUCUUUACUUUCNAACUCCUAUNCUUUGGAUUAUAAUCAACACACAUGUUAAAGUUCUAAAAUUCAAAGUAAUUAUUUAAUCAAAAGAAUAAGUUAACCAAUCCUUCGUAGACUUCAACCCUGAAGUGUAACAUUAUUCAUAAGAAAACCCAAGAAGGCAAUACAAUUACUCCUCUUGUAUUCCA
rnacentral:lncRNA from 1 species